rnacentral:siRNA from 1 species
UGUUCCGCCUGUUGCCCUUGGU